rnacentral:rRNA from 1 species
AGUAACGCGUGGAUAACCUGCCUCAUACAGGGGGAUAACAGUUAGAAAUGACUGCUAAUACCGCAUAAGCACCCGGGAGCGCAUGCUCUUGAGUGAAAAGCUCCGGCGGUAUGAGAUGGAUCCGCGUCUGAUUAGCUGGUUGGCGGGGUAACGGCCCACCAAGGCGACGAUCAGUAGCCGACCUGAGAGGGUGGCCGGCCACAUUGGGACUGAGACACGGCCCAAACUCCUACGGAAGGCAGCAG